UUCUAUAAAAAUACCUGUACUUUUCUUUUAAAAAAAUGGAAAAAAAGUAUAUAAAAUGACCAAAAGGCAAAGUAAAGAAUUUCUUUUAUAAAAAAUAGAACUAUAUCAAAGGAUGAGAUUUAAAGAAACCCAAAAGAUCUAAUCUUAACCGUCCAUUGUAAAGAUAGAGUAAGAGAGUAAAAAUCCUAGCGGUUAGCACGAAGCCACGGGCAGCACAAUGCACGACAUUCAAUCUCGCCUCUUCAAUCUUCCUGCUCUCUUUAAUCUCCAUCGACAUUCAUCUCCAAAACACCACCAUCUCCAUCGAUAUUCAUCUCUCCAAUCUCCAUCGACAUUCAUCAGCCGUCAGCCCGAACACCACGACAAGUCAACGACGACGAACACCGCUCAUUUUAAGGCUGCUUUUAUAUUCUAGAGAUGUCUAGUGGACAUGGAUCUUCUACACCGGUUAAUGUUUCAAGAGUUGAAGAGUUUUUUGUGAAUGUUGAAGAUGAUUAUAAUGGAGGAGUAGAUGAAGUUAAUGUAGGAAAUGAGCCUAAUGAAGAAGUUUCUGAACCCCUCUUGAUACCACAAAUAAAGAAGUUGAGGUUUCAUUUUAUUUCUUGGUAGGUUUUUGUGGAAAAAGUUUGAGCUAGGUGCAUGAUUUGGUGUUAAGUUUGCGGAACCUAAAAUGUGGCCAUCAUGUGAUGUGCAAAUUGUAUUAGUUAUUGUGGAUUGUAAUGAUAUGAUGAUAAUGAAUUUGUAUUAGUUGUUUGGUUGAGAUUGAUUCGGAAAAACUUGUCAUGUUGAUGUUUGAUGUAUGGUUAAGUACUUUGAGUUUGGUA